GAUGAACGCUGGCGGCGUGCCUAAUACAUGCAAGUCGAGCGAACGGACGAGAAGCUUGCUGCGCGGUUGUUAGCGGCGGACGGGAGAGUAACACGUGGAUAACCUACCUAUAAUACGGGGAAAACUUCGGGAAACCGUAGCUAAUACCGGAGAAUAUUUUGAACCGCAGGGUGCGAAAGUGAAAGACGGUCGUGCUGGCAGUUCUAGAUGCAUCCGCGCUGCUUUAGCUAGUUGGGAAGGUAACGGCUUACGAAGGCAACGAUGCAUAGCCGAGCUGAGAGGGUGAUCGGCCACACUGGAACUGAGCCACGGUCCAGACUCCUACGGGAGGCAGCAGUAGGGAAUCUGCCGCAAUAGGCGGAAGCCUGACGCAGUGACGCCGCGUGAGUGAUGACGGUCUUCGGAUCGUAAAACUCUGUUAUUAGGGAAGAACAUAUGUGUAAGUAACUGUGCACAUCUUGACGGUAACUAGUCAGAAAGCCACGGCUAACUACGUG
rnacentral:rRNA from 1 species